UCCAUCUUCUUGUUGUUUGUUGUCUUAGUAAGACUUGCUGAACUAACAAUUUGCUGUGAAUAUUGGCUCUUUGACUAGCCAUUCUGGUGUACCAAGUAGUAUACAUUUAAUGGUCUGUCUGUACAGCAAACACCAUAUCAUAACGCCCAAAGAAUAGGAACAAGGAGAUUAAAAUUGCAAUAGCUGGAGAGGGAAAAUGAUCCAUAUGGAGAACUGUUUCCCAAAAAAAAGAAAUCCAUUCAGAGAAAAAAUAAACAUAGGUAUACAUUUUUGGGACAUUGUUUCCAACAAAUCAAAGUAUUAAGGAGGUUAAUUAAGACAUUUUUUAAUUCCUUGAACAACACAUAGAGUCAUUGUCAAGACAGCUAGGUCAAAAGUACAGGGAUUAAGUUCAUAUUAUAAAAGUAUAGGCUCAGCAGUUUGUGAAGAUCUCUUAUAUACAAUAUUGACUACUAUGCCUCCAUCCAAAGCAAGUCUGGGUCACCUUUUUCUAACAUAUGCUAGCAAAGUACUUGAUUUGUCUCUCUUUCUUGCUGGUGGUUCUUUUUUAUUGUCAAAAGUCUGACUGCUGUGAUGAGACUCAGAACUUGUUGAAAGUUUGACACCUUGAUGAAACCGUCAACAGUAAUGUUGACCCUGAGCGGUUACCUGAGCAGUCAUAUCUUCAUGCUUCUUCUAGUUGUCAUAUUUUGAAAUACUUGUGAAAUAGAUGUUUAACUGCACUGCACCUUUCAACUAAUAGUAGUCUAAAUUUGGUGAUGUUUUAAAUAUUGAAUAGUCAGUAAGGAGACAUAAGAUACAAAUAAUUGACAACCAUCUGGAAUGAGGCGUUGAUUGAUUUUAUCUCAAUUCUCACCUGCUUGAUUUUGAAGCCAUCUAAGUUCAUUCAGCACGAUCAGCAUUUUGUGAAUUCUUAUCCCUUAAUCUCCUAGAUGUAUUAGAAAAACACACUUAAUUUUUCCCUUUUGUUUAUUGGUUUUUUUAAGAAGUUGAAAAAGUUGUCUGCUGUGAUGAUACUCAGAACUUGUUGAAAGUUUGACACCUUGAUGAAACCGUCAACAGUAAUGUUGACCCUGAGCGGUUACCUGAGCGGUCAUAUUUUAUCACUUCCUUUUUUAGUCUUCAUUUGAAGUGCUUCUGAAAUACAUGUUCAAUAACCCAUGUUUCAAUAAAUAAGUCCGUCUUUGAUGAAUCCUUCUUAAGCUCAAUAAUUCUUAUCCCCCUUCUUUCUAACCUAUUCAAUAAAAACACAUAAUUUGGCUCUCUUCUUGGUUAGUGUUGCUUUUGUAUUACCACAAGCGGACUGCUGUGAUGAAACUUGGAAUAUGUCGAAAGUUUCUAUACUUGGUGAAACCGUCAACAGUAAUGUUGACCCUGAGCGGUUACCUGAGCGGUCAUAUUUUAUCACUUCCUUUUUUAGUCUUCAUUUGAAGUGCUUCUGAAAUACAUGUUCAAUAACCCAUGUUUCAAUAAAUAAGUCCGUCUUUGAUGAAUCCUUCUUAAGCUCAAUAAUUCUUAUCCCCCUUCUUUCUAACCUAUUCAAUAAAAACACAUAAUUUGGCUCUCUUCUUGGUUAGUGUUGCUUUUGUAUUACCACAAGCGGACUGCUGUGAUGAAACUUGGAAUAUGUCGAAAGUUUCUAUACUUGGUGAAACCGUCAACAGUGAUGUUGAUCCUGAACGGUUACCUGAGCAGUCAUAUCUUAAUCAAUUUCUUUUUC